rnacentral:rRNA from 1 species
CCCUUAGAUGUUCUGGGCCGCACGCGCGCUACAAUGAUGAAUUCAACGAGUUUAUAACCUUGGUUGAAAAGCCUGGGUAAUCUUUUGAACUUUCGUCGUGAUGGGGCUAGACCCUUGCAAUUAUUGGUCUCCAACGAGGAAUCCCUAGUAAACGCAAGUCAUCAGCUUGCAUUGAUUACGUCCCUGCCCUUUGUACACACCGCCCGUCGCACCUACCGAUUGAAUGGUCCGGUGAAAUCUUCGGAUUGAGACUUUGAUUUCUUCACGGAAAACGCUGUUUUAAAAAGUUGAUUAAACCUUACCAUUUAGAGGAAGGUGAAGUCGUAACA